rnacentral:rRNA from 1 species
CAAUAGCGUAUAUUAAAGUUGUUGCAGUUAAAAAGCUCGUAGUUGGAUUUCUGGUCGGAAGCUCCUGUCCUCUGAUGAGCGUACAAGUGCGUCCUACCAUCCUUCUGUUAACCUUUAAGGCUUUCGCGGCUUUCUAGGGGCUCAGAUAUUUUACCUUGAGAAAAUUAGAGUGUUUCAGGCAGGCUAGCGCCGGAAUACAUUAGCAUGGAAUAAUGGAAUAGGACUUUUGCCUCUUCUGUUGGUCAUGAGGCUCGAGUAAUAAUUAAUAGGGAUAGUUGGGGGCAUUAGUACUUAACUGUCAGAGGUGAAAUUCUCGGAUUUGUUAAAGACUAACUUAUGCGAAAGCAUUUGCCAAGGAUGUUUUCAUUAA